UGGCUCAGGACGAACGCUGGCGGCGUGCCUAAUACAUGCAAGUCGAGCGGACUUUUAAAAGCUUGCUUUUAAAAGUCAGCGGCGGACGGGUGAGUAACACGUGGGCAACCUGCCUGUAAGACUGGGAUAACUUCGGGAAACCGGAGCUAAUACCGGAUACGUUCUUCUCUCGCAUGAGAGAAGAUGGAAAGAUGGUUUCGGCUAUCACUUACAGAUGGGCCCGCGGCGCAUUAGCUAGUUGGUGGGGUAAUGGCCCACCAAGGCGACGAUGCGUAGCCGACCUGAGAGGGUGAUCGGCCACACUGGGACUGAGACACGGCCCAGACUCCUACGGGAGGCAGCAGUAGGGAAUCUUCCGCAAUGGACGAAAGUCUGACGGAGCAACGCCGCGUGAACGAUGAAGGCUUUCGGGUCGUAAAGUUCUGUUGUUAGGGAAGAACAAGUACCAGAGUAACUGCUGGUACCUUGACGGACCUAACCAGAAAGCCACGC
rnacentral:rRNA from 1 species